GAUGAACGCUGGCGGCGUGCCUAAUACAUGCAAGUCGAGCGAACAGACGAGGAGCCUGCUCCUCUGACGUUAGCGGCGGACGGGUGAGUAACACGUGGAUAACCUACCUAUAAGACUGGGAUAACUUCGGGAAACCGGAGCUAAUACCGGAUAAUAUAUUGAACCGCAUGGUUCAAUAGUGAAAGACGGUUUUGCUGUCACUUAUAGAUGGAUCCGCGCCGCAUUAGCUAGUUGGUAAGGUAACGGCUUACCACGGCGACGAUGCGUAGCCGACCUGAGAGGGUGAUCGGCCACACUGGAACUGAGACACGGUCCAGACUCCUACGGGAGGCAGCAGUAGGGAAUCUUCCGCAAUGGGCGAAAGCCUGACGGAGCAACGCCGCGUGAGUGAUGAAGGUCUUCGGAGCGUAAAACUCUGUUAUUAGGGAAGAACAAAUGUGUAAGUAACUAUGCACGUCGUGACGGUACCUAAUCAGAAAGCCACGGCUAACUACGUG
rnacentral:rRNA from 1 species